rnacentral:rRNA from 1 species
UACGAAGGGGGGCUAGCGUUGCUCGGAAUUACUGGGCGUAAAGCGCACGUAGGUGGCUUCUUAAGUCGGGGGUGAAAUCCUGGAGCUCAACUCCAGAACUGCCUUCGAUACUGGGAAGCUCGAGUUCGGGAGAGGUGAGUGGAACUGCGAGUGUAGAGGUGAAAUUCGUAGAUAUUCGCAAGAACACCAGUGGCGAAGGCGGCUCACUGGCCCGGUACUGACGCUGAGGCACGAAAGCGUGGGGAGCAAACAGG